UUCAAUGAGAGUUGUACUAAGGUAGCAUAAUAAAUCGUCCUUUAAUUGGGGAAUGGAAUGAAUGGUUUGACAUAGAUAAGCUGUCUUUAAGUUAUAAAGUGAAAUUUCCAUUUGAGUGAAAAGGCUCAAAUAAUUGUAAAAGAAGAGAAGACCCUAUCGAGCUUAGUUAGAAAUUAAUAAAGUUAUUUAUUUUGAAUUUUUAUUGGGGCAAUAGGGGGCUAUAUUUAACGCCUCUUUGUGGUGUGAAGAUCCUAUUUGAUAGAAAAAAGCAAAAGCUACCGUAGGGAUAACAGCGUAAUUUUUUUUUUGAGAUCGUAUUGGAAAAAAAGUUUGCGACCUCGAUGUUGGAUUAUA
rnacentral:rRNA from 1 species